GCCCCUGAUUGUGCAAGUUUCAGCCUACCGAAUUUUUUAGACAUUGGCGAGUGCCUAGGUGACUCUGGAAACCUAUGCAGUGCUGACACCGAAGGCAUUGGAGUUUUUCUUGGGAAACUUCUAGAGUGCUCAUUUGAAGGUCUCGGCACUCUUGAUCUGCGGUCGCAGAUUUACUUGAUAAUUGAAUUUCUCAAGUACCUCCUCGA